rnacentral:rRNA from 1 species
CCUACGGGAGGCAGCAGUGAGGAAUCUUGGUCAAUGGGCGAGAGCCUGAACCAGCCAAGUCGCGUGAGGGAGUACUGCCCUAUGGGUUGUAAACCUCUUUUGUCGGGGAGCAAAAGCCGGACGUGUCCGGCUGUGAGAGUACCCGAAGAAAAAGCAUCGGCUAACUCCGUGCCAGCAGCCGCGGUAAUACGGAGGAUGAGAGCGGUAUCCGGAUUUAUUGGGGUUAAAGGGUGCGCAGGCGGAUUUUUAAGUCAGCGGUCAAAUCGUGGGGCUAAACCCCAUCCAGCCGUUGAAACUGGGGAUCUAGAGUGUGCGAGAGGUAUGCGGAAUGCGUGGUGUAGCGGUGAAAUGCAUAGAUAUCACGCAGAACCCCGAUUGCGAAGGCAGCAUACCGGUGCACAACUGACGCUCAGGCACGAAAGCGUGGGUAUCGAACAGGAUUAGAUACCCUUGUAGUC